CAGUUUGAUCUGGUCUGAUUUGGAUUAUUGUGUCGUCGGAGAAGCUUAUGGGGUGGGGAAAAUUUUCAACAUCCAGUCUGGAUUGUCAUCCAAGUCAGCAGUGCCGAGGUCCUUGUUGACUUCUUGGCUGGGGAACAGGUGCCUUCAAUUCUUUCUCCUUUCCUCUGUCUCUAGAUGUUGACUGACACCAGGACACUUAGAUGUGCACACUCUACUUCUGACUUUUCUGUACCCCAGACUCACACAUUGUAGGUGCACAGGACAGUGUGACCCAGAUAUCUGCAGGGCACCUCAGAUGCAAUGGUUUUUCAAAAAUGUCACUUUCUAAGCAUUUCCUCUCCAAACCCACUCUAACCAUUUCCCAACCCUAUCUUGAGAAAUCAACCCUGCCUUGUGUUCAGUUACUCAACCCCAAACCUAGGCACUAUCUAAAACUCCCUUUGUAGCCCUUUCAGUUGAGACGGGGCUAGUCCAAGUCUUUCCCUGAGGCCUGGAUGUGUGGAGAAGAAACACAGCUCCUUCUCUAGAAUCUGGAACUUACUUGACAGGGUUAGUACUGGCCUGGGGCCUGGGCCUUGCUGAGCUGUGGCUUCUGAUACUAAGAAUCCUUCUCUUCUCUCUACAGGAGGUUAUGGUCCCUAGGCCGCCUGUGGUUGGUUCCUGAGAUGCCCUGUGUUCACCGUGUGCAACAUUGUGUGAUUAGCUCCCCACCGACUGCCUCCCAUGAGAGUUUCUUCUGACCUUGUCCCACUUCUCCCCUGGAAAUAGUAUGAAACACACUGUGCUUCUCAGUGCGUUUCAGUUGGCAUGAGAUGCAGCCUGCGAAAGACCUCCCGAGCUUACCAGCUCUGUCAUCAUAAUCUCUGACCCCCUGGACCUUCCUCCUCAGGACCCUGUCUGUCACUCGUCUGGGUUGAAGUGGCGUCCCAGUGUAGAAGAAAGAUUUACAUGGCAUGUAAUACUAGCACACAAAAAGGUUAACACUUUCAGAUGGACAACUUUCAACAAUAACAACAAAUUGAAGAACAAUUACAGCAGCUGCCACAAGAGAGCUGUUGAAGUCAGCUUUGGCGAUGGUGUUCCUUUGGUUUUGCAAUGCUACACUGAAACUUGAAGAGAAAAUGCUCCUUCUCUAUCUGUGUGACUCCUCCCCCUGCAGAAUAGAGAACUUUGUAUCGUGGAAACAGUGACUCAGGUGCUACACUGGAUGGAUGCUUUCUUUAUAGGCCAAGCAUGAAUUGAAGAUGGGAGAGCCUGCAAUGCUGUGGACGUGAUCUGUCUUCUCCUAAACCCACUGACAUUCACUCUCCACAGUGAGAUAUUGGAAUAUGUCUCCUUGGGUAGACCAAUCUGACCCUGUGACUUUUUUCCACAGAGGACUUAGACUGUUUGGUCGGGUCACUGGCAUACUGAGGGUCUGUACCACCUUGAACCACCACAUGUAAGAAGGCCAUUGCCAACUGUGGGCCCCUCAGCCUGAAACCUUUGAAACUGUGAGAUGAAAUAAAAACCCUUUCUUCAUUAGCCAGUCUGUGUAAUGGUGGUGUUAUCAGCAGGAAAGGAAAAA
ensembl:lncRNA